rnacentral:tRNA from 1 species
GGAUUGUAGCUCAGUAGUAGAGUGCUUGCCUCACAUAUCUGAGGCACUGGGUUCGAUCCUCAGCACCA